rnacentral:rRNA from 1 species
GGGGGGGGGGGGGGGGGGGGGGGGGGGGGGGGGGGGGGAGGGGGGCGGGGGGGGGGGUUGCGCGGACGGGGGGCGGGUGGCGGGCGGGGGAGGAGGACGUCGGGAUCGACUUUUUCGUGGGGGAUAACGUAGGGAAACGUACGCUAAUACCGCAUACGACCUCCGGGUGAAAGCAGGGGAUCUUCGGACCUUGCGCGAUUGAAUGAGCCGAUGUCGGAUUAGCUAGUUGGCGGGGUAAAGGCCCACCAAGGCGACGAUCCGUAGCUGGUCUGAGAGGAGGAUCAGCCACACUGGACCUGAGACACGGUCCAGACUCCUACGGGAGGCAGCAGUGGGGAAUAUUGGACAAUGGGCGCAAGCCUGAUCCAGCCAUACCGCGUGGGUGAAGAAGGCCUUCGGGUUGUAAAGCCCUUUUGUUGGGAAAGAAAAGCAGCAGGUUAAUACCCCGCUGUUCUGACGGUACCCAAAGAAUAAGCACCGGCUAACUUCGUG